AUAUAUAUAUAUAUAUAGAGAGAGAGAGAGAGAGAGAGAGAGAGAGAGUGAGUGUGUGUCUAGCUACUAACUUUUAUGAGUAUAGUUUUUUUUGUACUCAUUAGUUUUAACCUUUAGAUUUACUCUUUUGACCAUUUUCAUCCGUUAGAUUAUACUAUUCAACCAACUACUCACUCAAUCAUAAAAAACUACUAUCAUCUUAACAGCGGACUACUAUUAUCCUAACCACACAUUCUUUUAUCAAACGGUCAAAAAUUUAUGAGUAUAAAAGAAUUUAUACUUAUAAAAAUAUAAUAACUCUAGUCUAUAUGUAGGGUCCGGCUACUAUACUAUUAUGAGUACGAUCGCCUUCCUGCUCAUAAGUUAUUUUCGAUGAUAGAGCUUUCGAAUCAACGAUUCACACCGUUAAACGUUAUUUACAAUAUUUAAAACUUCUAUAAAUCAAAUUUUAUAAUUUUUUGACAUCAUUUACCUUACGAUCAAGAGUCACAAAUUUGACAAUUUUUAACGGCCGGUAUGGAUACUUGCUAGUUUAACGGUGUAAAAGAAUCGGAAUUUGUUGAAUUUUUUAUAGAAAAUUCUAUUCACUACAUAGAUAAAGAUCAAUAACUCCGAUCUUGAAUUGAAUGAUCUAAUCAUCCUUUUGUAGAACGUCGUUUGAUUUUGACCGUUCAUUUUAUGCCCACUUGAUGGACUUUAUUAUGAUUUCGAAAAUUUACGAAAUUUAUUUUCUAGAAGUUUCAAAUACUCUAGAUCAUAUUUAACGGAGUGGAUCGUCGAUUCGGAAGCUCUAUUAUCGAAAACAACUUAUAAGUACGAGGGCUUCAAUACUCAUAAUAGUAUAGUAGCCAUGACCCUAUAUGUAAUAGUAAAUUAACAAUUAUAAUUUAGGCAU
rnacentral:lncRNA from 1 species